rnacentral:tRNA from 1 species
AGAAAAUUAGUUAAAAUAUAACAUUAGUAUGUCAUACUAAAAUAAUUAAAAAUUAAUAUUUUCUA